rnacentral:lncRNA from 1 species
CAGCAGGUUAAUACAGCAUGUUAAUACAGUGACAGCAGGUUAAUUCAGUGACAGCAUGUUAAUACAGUGACAGCAGGUUAAUACAGCGGCAGCAGGUUAAUGCAGCAGUACAGUAUGUUAAUACAGCAAUAUCAGGUUAAUACAGCGACAGCGGGUUAAUACAGUGAAGGCAUGUUAAUACAGCGACAGCAGGUUAAUACAGCGACAGCAGGUUAAUACAGCGACAGCAGGUUAAUACAGUGAAGGCAGGUUAAUACAGCAUGUUAAUACAGUGACAGCAGGUUAAUACAGCAUGUUAAUACAGCGACAGCAUGUUAAUACAGUGACAGCAUGUUAAUACAGUGACAGCAAGUUAAUACAGCAGGUUAAUACAGCGAUAGCAGAUUAAUACAGCGACAGCAUGUUAAUACAGUAGACCAUUUGCUCCAUGUCCUAGUCAUAUUUUAUCUUAACGAGAGGGCUGCUGCCACAGCUUAGUGCCUCUGCACAGAAACAGACAGAAAGAAAUAGAAAGAGAGAGCAGGAGAGAGAGCGAGGUAAUACAGACAGAAUGACAUGGGGGAGGAGAGGUAAUACAGACAGAAUGACAUGGGGGAGGAGAG